rnacentral:rRNA from 1 species
CCUACGGGAGGCUGCAGUGGGGAAUAUUGGACAAUGGGGGCAACCCUGAUCCAGCCAUGCCGCGUGUGUGAAGAAGGCCCUCGGGUUGUAAAGCACUUUCAGUGAGGAAGAACGCCUGGUGGUUAAUACCCAUCAGGAAAGACAUCACUCACAGAAGAAGCACCGGCUAACUCCGUGCCAGCAGCCGCGGUAAUACGGAGGGUGCGAGCGUUAAUCGGAAUUACUGGGCGUAAAGCGCGCGUAGGUGGCUUGAUAAGCCGGUUGUGAAAGCCCCGGGCUCAACCUGGGAACGGCAUCUGGAACUGUCAAGCUAGAGUGCAGGAGAGGAAGGUAGAAUUCCCGGUGUAGCGGUGAAAUGCGUAGAGAUCGGGAGGAAUACCAGUGGCGAAGGCGGCCUUCUGGACUGACACUGACACUGAGGUGCGAAAGCGUGGGUAGCAAACAGGAUUAGAUACCCCUGUAGUC